CGCACGGGUGCGUAACGCGUAUGCAAUCUGCCUUUCACAGAGGGAUAGCCCAGAGAAAUUUGGAUUAAUACCUCAUAGCAUCAUGACCCGGCAUCGGGAUAUGAUUAAAGUCACAACGGUGAAAGAUGAGCAUGCGUCCCAUUAGCUAGUUGGUAAGGUAACGGCUUACCAAGGCUACGAUGGGUAGGGGUCCUGAGAGGGAGAUCCCCCACACUGGUACUGAGACACGGACCAGACUCCUACGGGAGGCAGCAGUGAGGAAUAUUGGUCAAUGGGCGCAAGCCUGAACCAGCCAUGCCGCGUGCAGGAUGACGGUCCUAUGGAUUGUAAACUGCUUUUGUACGGGAAGAAACACUGAUUCGUGAAUCAGCUUGACGGUACCGUAAGAAUAAGGAUCGGCUAACUCCGUGCCAGCAGCCGCGGUAAUACGGAGGAUCCAAGCGUUAUCCGGAAUCAUUGGGUUUAAAGGGUCUGUAGGCGGUCUUGUAAGUCAGUGGUGAAAGCCCAUCGCUCAACGGUGGAACGGCCAUUGAUACUGCAGGACUUGAAUUAUUGGGAAGUAACUAGAAUAUGUAGUGUAGCGGUGAAAUGCUUAGAGAUUACAUGGAAUACCAAUUGCGAAGGCAGGUUACUACCAAUUGAUUGACGCUGAUGGACGAAAGCGUGGGUAGCGAACAGGAUUAGAUACCCUGGUAGUCCACGCCGUAAACGAUGGAUACUAGCUGUUGGGCGCAAGUUCAGUG
rnacentral:rRNA from 1 species